UUUCUUAGUGGAGAAACAAACCGAAACAUCCAUGGGAGUUUAAGCAAGCAUUCGGUCAAGGUUGUUUACAAUUGCAUGCUCGUGUGAGUAGCAUCGUGUAGCAAAUGUUCCGACCCACAACUCGUGUGAGCAGACCCAUUUCGUAGCUCGUGUGAACACUAUUGAAAAGGAAAGGUUAUGAUUACAUGAAAAGGCACAAUAUGUGUGAGCAUUCCCGAGUGUCCGAUGAAAUUCUAGAUGGUUCAACGGGUAAGUAAAUGUUAGGAAAGGCAUGUAUAAAAACUUAAUGUUCAUAUGAAAUGGAAAAAUGGAUAUGCAUAUAUGAAAUGAAAA